rnacentral:rRNA from 1 species
GUCCAUCCGAGCAUGCCCAAUCUCAUAUGAUCUUGGAAGCUAGGCAGGCUCCGGUUUAGUUAGUACUAGGUUGGGAGACCAUCCCCAUGGAGGGCAUAACCUGGACC